AAAGUGUCAUUAUCUCAAAUUUUCCAGAUGCAGUAACACUUUCAGAAGAUGUUUUUUUUUUAUAUGGAUUUGGAAUGAAAUCUUGAUUGCGUCUAUUUUUCUGUCAUCAAAUUGAUACCUUAUCACUGCUUUUGUAUGGCAACAUGAAUCGCUGUACUAUCUUGUCUUUUUUCUGGUUUAGUUGCCAAAACCGGAACUUUUUGCUGAUAAAUGAUAACACUUCUAUAUAUAAAUACCCUAAUAAAAGCUAUAAUUACCAAAGUCCUCCUUUCCAUACAUCUUCUCUUUUUUAACUGUGAUAUACAUGUAUUUAGUUGAUUUUGACAACUCAUGUUCACGGAUAGCUUGGUGAACUUCCUCCAAGGAAUGUACACAUAGAACCUCAUAUGUAUGCAGAUGUAUCUGGGGUAGUAAGUCAGCAAUCAGGCAAAAGUAGGUCACUUGGACCCACAUUUCAUGCUUCAAUGACUGGUUCAGUUUAAUGUUCAUAUCUCAGCAACUAUAAGUUGUAGGAUCAUGUAAACUUUUAUGUACAGGGGUAGUAAGUCAGCAUCCAGGCAAAGUAAGUCGCUGUGACCUAUAUUUAACUCUUUAUUGACUUUAUUGACUUUAGUCAGUAUUUCUUAAUGAAAUUCAAUGAAACUUUCACAGAUUAUUGUCAUGGUGGAUAACCUACGUCAUUGUCACAUGAUUUGACGGACAAGGAACCCACGAAAAAGGUUGAGGAAAAGGAAGAAAGAUAUCGAUGGACAUGGUGGAUUGGAAUACAGAUCAGACCAGACGGCGGACAGUCAAAUAGACAGUGACACAGAAGAUGACUACAUUGAUGUUAGAAAAGCAAAGCACAAAAUAGCCAGGAAACAUGAAAAAACAUCAAAGGUAUUAAAAGACAAGGAGACUGACUUCAAUGUUAUAAACAGCCUUGUGAGAAAAAAUGUUCUAAGUACCAGUAACAUUCAGACAAUACAGACCUGUCAAGCUAUGUUGUAUAAAAAGACCCAUGAGGAACAGUCAGAUUUCAUUGAGUGAAACAUAAGGUGCAAUGAUGCCAGUUUAGAAGACAAACAGUUGACUUUUGUGCUGACUGGUAGGAGAGUAUGUGAAUAUGCAUGGAGGAUUGUGUAUGGCAUAAAAAGAAGGAGUAUCAGAAGCUCAGCAAAUGUAACGAGUGUGUAAUCUUUAAAGAGACCAUCAGCGAAAAACUGACAAAGAUUGAUUUGGGGUGCUGAAGGACAAGAGAUGAUCUAGAGCACAUAUGCUUCUUCAAUAUCUCUGCAGAGAAAAAUAUUUUAAACACAUCAAGAAAUCCAAAGAACAUCCAAGCAUGUAUACAUCUGUUAUCAGUGACAAUAUGGAUCAGUCCAAAACAAAUCUGCCAAGAUUUACGUUACAUUUUAAGAAUGAAACAACACUUGAAAAAAUGCACCACCAUGUCACAGGUGUUUUAUGUCACGGAUUAAAUAAGGCAUACACAUUUACAUGGACAGAUCAGUUUUCCUCUGAUUGUAAUAUCACCUUGAAUUGUUUGAUGUCUGUGUUAGGCGAUGUAACAAAAGAAAAUGGUGGUUUACCUCCUACACUUUAUAUUCAAACUGAUGACAACAAAAAUAAAUUUGUGAUAAUGUUCCUAGCAAUAUUGGUGAAAAUGGAAAUUGUAAAAAAGAUCAAGCUGACAUUCCUCAUGGUUGGUAGAACCGAAUAUGGAAAAAAUUAGUGGUAUCAUUCUGUUGAUGAGAACAGAUCUACCAAAAUGGGUAAAGAAUGGUAAACUAAAUAGAGAAGAUGAACUUUGGUGGAUCAACUACUUAUCAGCCUUGGAGAAGAGAAGACGUCCUGCGCCAAAGACUCCCUUGCCACAAAAUAUGGGAAGAUACAAGAAACCACAACAUCCACAACCAGCUAUGGAGGAUUAUAUGUUGGCGGCAAUUAACAACCACAUACAGACAUUUAAUAGGAACACCAAUGUCAGGAUUGUCACACAUUGACCACGGGUUUAAGACCUCAAAACUGAUUUUUAUUACUGAAUUGUAUUUUUUAUAUUUUGUCUGUAAUGAACCUCAUAGAAACAUUUGAUAGAUAAACCAUCUUCUAAUGAGCACUGUGCUGCCAAAUUUGUGUUGCUAUUAAUGAAAUGACUACAGCAUGUUUUGUGUCAAGUUUAAUUCCCAGAAACUUGUAGCUAUGUAUAAUAUUUCACUCUCUUAUUAAGUUGCUAUACAGCAAAAUUUCAGUCACUAUCACAAAGUGUUGUUCUUGAGUGACUUUAGAAAUAUCUGUAGUAAUAAAUCAUUCUACUGCUGCCCUUUUGUAAAGACAGCUCUGCAAUAUAGAAGUCACAAUGAUUUGAGUUAAAGCUGUAGUGACUUUAUCAAAUUUUACUUCAUGAGUUUAUUUUUUAAAGCAAAAUGGAAUAUAUAUAUCAAUGAACAUGUUAGUAAUGUAUCAUUUCAAACCGUUUUAUCUUGGCCAAUAUCUUAGAAACUAAUGUUGUUGAAAUGGUAUGAAUGUAUAAUUUAACACCAAGGUGAAAAGGCAUUUCUAAAUUUAAAAUCUGAAUCGAUUGAAUGCAAGGACACCCUUAAAAAAUUCUUUGUUACAUGUUUUAGACAAGAAAACGACGUUAAAGCAGGAAAAAAUCUUUUAAAAAAAAAUUGGAAACAGUUUGUGUCAUAAAAUUUUUCGGGUAGGUAGGCAACAUCAAACAAUUUAAAUUUUAUAUUUGGCCCAAUGGAUAUAAAGUUUUAAAAGCUUUGAAACUGAUACUUAGUUUGGCUUAUUGUUGUAAUGGAUAUGUUAUGGUGUUAUUAGACAUUCCAAUUAAACAUGGAAGGAAGACAUACUGACACCACUUCUAUGUCUUGACUUCCUUAUGAAUUGAGGGUUUUAGCAGAUGUCUGUAUGAAGCAAAAUAUCAUCUGCAUUGAUGUACUAUAGUUUGCCUCUGUUGCAUGGAAUUCUGUUUUUAACUUUAACACACAAAAAAAUCAUGAUUAUUUUGAAAACUAAGUGUUUAUGUAUAGCAGUGCAAUAUAUAUAAUGUUCACAAUUGUAUAAAUGUAAAUAUAAAACAAAAUAUUUGUAAAUAAUAUUUUAAUUGCUUCAGUGAGUGUUUUGACAAAUUAAUUCAGUGAUUAUUUUAAAAAUGGUGAAAUUGCUAUUUCUAUUCUGAAAGGAGUAGAUGUGGUAAGUGCCCUAUUAUGUCCCAAUUUGAAGUAAAUUAUUUCAGGCUGAAAAGCUUUUGAAGAUGAUGCAUAAAAACCUAUUGAAAUUAGCCUGUUUUAAUUGGUAGGAAAUGAAAGUUAUACUUAUUUUUAUUUCAUGAAAAAAAUGCCGAUAAAUUAA